AUUGAACGCUGGCGGCAUGCCUUACACAUGCAAGUCGAACGGCAGCACGGGUGCUUGCACCUGGUGGCGAGUGGCGAACGGGUGAGUAAUACAUCGGAACAUGUCCUGGAGUGGGGGAUAGCCCGGCGAAAGCCGGAUUAAUAGCGCAUACGAUCUACGGGUGAAAGCGGGGGACCUUCGGGCCUCGCGCUAUAGGGUUGGCCGAUGGCUGAUUAGCUAGUUGGUGGGGUAAAGGCCUACCAAGGCGACGAUCAGUAGCUGGUCUGAGAGGACGACCAGCCACACUGGGACUGAGACACGGCCCAGACUCCUACGGGAGGCAGCAGUGGGGAAUUUUGGACAAUGGGCGCAAGCCUGAUCCAGCAAUGCCGCGUGUGUGAAGAAGGCCUUCGGGUUGUAAAGCACUUUUGUCCGGAAAGAAAUCCUUGGCCCUAAUACGGUCGGGGGAUGACGGUACCGGAAGAAUAAGCACCGGCUAACUACGUG
rnacentral:rRNA from 1 species